rnacentral:tRNA from 1 species
GCGGAUUUUACAGCGAAAGUGGCAGCUUCCCAAGCUGCAUACGAGGGUUCGAUUCCCUUCACCCGCU